GAUUGGAUCAUGGGAACGGAUUUCCUCCUUGCUGUUCUCACGCUAGUGAGUGAGUUCUCACGAGAUCCGAGCAUUUAAUAGUGUGUGGCUCCUCCUGCUUCGCUCUCCUGCUGCCAUAGGAAGGUGUGCUUGCUACUCCUUUGCCUUCUGCCAUGAUUGUGAGUUUCCUGAGACCUCCUAGUCAUGCUUCCUGUUCAGCCUGCAGAACUAGGCUCUAGAACAGAGAUUGCACACACGGCCACACUUCUUAUGCUCAUACCCAUUACUGCAUCUAGAUGGAAGCAGACCUGGAAGAGGAAACACUGAACUAGACCAUAAGCUGCUCGGAAGCAAGCACCAUGCCUAUUGACCGUCAUGGCUCUGUCUCCAGGCUCAUGAAUGAAUGGGUAGAUAAAUAAAUACGUUAUUGGCAAAGUGGCUUAGACAUGCUAUGAUUUCCAUCCCUCCCUAUUUACAGAUAGCAUUCCAGUUAUCUUAUUUCCAUUAAGAAAAAUCCAAAACCCUCAAUAUGAAAUCAGACUAUUUCCAUGAGAAAUAGUAAACAGACUAGUCACCAACUAUUUUAGGAAUAAAAGAUAACACACUACCUCUGUACUCGGUACACUCGAGUCCAUGGAGGCACGAGGGCUAGGAUCCGAGCCACCAAUUCAACCAGGUCACUAGGAGAGUAACUCUUAUAUCUUCCUGAUUUCCAAAGCUCAUAAAGCCCGGUCCCACGAAUCACCAGGGUAGGAUAGAGUUUCAGCCCAUCGGGACGAAAAGCAGGGUUCUCAAAAAACUCCUGUGAAUAGAGAACAGAAAAUGACUUCUCCAUUAGUUAUGCAGAGAUCACCGAGGGUGAAAUCUCAACCCCUGACAGCUUCUCUGGCACACCCAGUAGGCCCUGGGGCAGCCUUUGCUUCUGACCAGGUAGGGCGUACAGACAGAACAGAAACUCCUUGUUUCUGUAGUCUCACUGGGGCAAAGCAAGUGUGUGCUGGACUGCACUAGGCCCUCACCAUUCCAGCUUGUCUCCUGCACAAUCUCAUCUCAUGCCACCCCUCACCAUCUGGCCUUUCCACUCCUGCAAAGGCAAUUUCCUUUGCCUGGAAAGUUCAUCAAUUUUUCUUUAUCUAGCUAAUCUUCAGGUUUCAGUUUGAAUGCCACUUCUUCAGAGAGGCCCCUCUGACUUUCAAAUACUAGCUGUCCCACUUAAAAAAAAUC
rnacentral:lncRNA from 10 species